rnacentral:rRNA from 1 species
CUGAUCCAGCAUGCCGCGUGUGUGAAGAAGGCCUUCGGGUUGUAAAGCACUUUUGUCCGGAAAGAAAUGGCUCUGGUUAAUACCUGGGGUCGAUGACGGUACCGGAAGAAUAAGGACCGGCUAACUACGUGCCAGCAGCCGCGGUAAUACGUAGGGUCCAAGCGUUAAUCGGAAUUACUGGGCGUAAAGCGUGCGCAGGCGGUUGUGCAAGACCGAUGUGAAAUCCCCGAGCUUAACUUGGGAAUUGCAUUGGUGACUGCACGGCUAGAGUGUGUCAGAGGGGGGUAGAAUUCCACGUGUAGCAGUGAAAUGCGUAGAGAUGUGGAGGAAUACCGAUGGCGAAGGCAGCCCCCUGGGAUAACACUGACGCUCAUGCACGAAAGCGUGGGGAGCAAACAGGAUUAGAUACCCUGGUAGUCCACGCCCUAAACGAUGUCAACUAGUUGUUGGGGAUUCAUUUCCUUAGUAACGUAGCUAACGCGUGAAGUUGACCGCCUGGGGAGUACGGUCGCAAGAUUAAAACUCAAAGGAAUUGACGGGG